CACUCCUACGGGAGGCAGCAGUGGGGAAUAUUGGACAAUGGGCGCAAGCCUGAUCCAGCCAUGCCGCGUGAGUGAUGAAGGCCCUAGGGUUGUAAAGCUCUUUCACCGGUGAAGAUAAUGACGGUAACCGGAGAAGAAGCCCCGGCUAACUUCGUGCCAGCAGCCGCGGUAAUACGAAGGGGGCUAGCGUUGUUCGGAUUUACUGGGCGUAAAGCGCACGUAGGCGGACUAUUAAGUCAGGGGUGAAAUCCCGGGGCUCAACCCCGGAACUGCCUUUGAUACUGGUAGUCUUGAGUUCGAGAGAGGUGAGUGGAAUUCCGAGUGUAGAGGUGAAAUUCGUAGAUAUUCGGAGGAACACCAGUGGCGAAGGCGGCUCACUGGCUCGAUACUGACGCUGAGGUGCGAAAGCGUGGGGAGCAAACAGGAUUAGAAACCCUUGUAGUCCCA
rnacentral:rRNA from 1 species